rnacentral:rRNA from 1 species
UCCUACGGGAGGCAGCAGAAGGGAAUCUUCCGCAAUGGACGAAAGUCCGACGGAGCAACGCCGCGUGAGUGAUGAAGGUUUUCGGAUCGUAAAGCUCUGUUGUUAGGGAAGAACAAGUGCGAGAGUAACUGCUCGCACCUUGACGGUACCUAACCAGAAAGCCACGGCUAACUACGUGCCAGCAGCCGCGGUAAUACGUAGGUGGCAAGCGUUGUCCGGAAUUAUUGGGCGUAAAGGGCUCGCAGGCGGUUUCUUAAGUCUGAUGUGAAAGCCCCCGGCUCAACCGGGGAGGGUCAUUGGAAACUGGGAAACUUGAGUGCAGAAGAGGAGAGUGGAAUUCCACGUGUAGCGGUGAAAUGCGUAGAGAUGUGGAGGAACACCAGUGGCGAAGGCGACUCUCUGGUCUGUAACUGACGCUGAGGAGCGAAAGCGUGGGGAGCGAACAGGAUUAGAUACCCUGGUAGUCCACGCCGUAAACGAUGAGUGCUAAGUGUUAGGGGGUUUCCGCCCCUUAGUGCUGCAGCUAACGCAUUAAGCACUCCGCCUGGGGAGUACGGUCGCAAGACUGAAACUCAAAUGAAUUGACGGA